GGCCUCGUGGCCUAAUGGAUAAGGCAUCUGAUUUCGGAUCAGAAGAUUGUGGGUCUGAGUCCG
rnacentral:tRNA from 1 species